UGCAGUCGAGCGGUAGAGAGAAGCUUGCUUCUCUUGAGAGCGGCGGACGGGUGAGUAAUGCCUAGGAAUCUGCCUGGUAGUGGGGGAUAACGUUCGGAAACGAACGCUAAUACCGCAUACGUCCUACGGGAGAAAGCAGGGGACCUUCGGGCCUUGCGCUAUCAGAUGAGCCUAGGUCGGAUUAGCUAGUUGGUGAGGUAAUGGCUCACCAAGGCGACGAUCCGUAACUGGUCUGAGAGGAUGAUCAGUCACACUGGAACUGAGACACGGUCCAGACUCCUACGGGAGGCAGCAGUGGGGAAUAUUGGACAAUGGGCGAAAGCCUGAUCCAGCCAUGCCGCGUGUGUGAAGAAGGUCUUCGGAUUGUAAAGCACUUUAAGUUGGGAGGAAGGGCAUUAACCUAAUACGUUAGUGUUUUGACGUUACCGACAGAAUAAGCACCGGCUAACUCUGUGCCAGCAGCCGCGGUAAUACAGAGGGUGCAAGCGUUAAUCGGAAUUACUGGGCGUAAAGCGCGCGUAGGUGGUUUGUUAAGUUGGAUGUGAAAUCCCCGGGCUCAACCUGGGAACUGCAUUCAAAACUGACUGACUAGAGUAUGGUAGAGGGUGGUGGAAUUUCC
rnacentral:rRNA from 1 species